UAGGGAAUCUUCCGCAAUGGACGAAAGUCUGACGGAGCAACGCCGCGUGAGUGAUGAAGGUUUUCGGAUCGUAAAACUCUGUUGUUAGGGAAGAACAAGUACCGGAGUAACUGCCGGUACCUUGACGGUACCUAACCAGAAAGCCACGGCUAACUACGUGCCAGCAGCCGCGGUAAUACGUAGGUGGCAAGCGUUGUCCGGAAUUAUUGGGCGUAAAGCGCGCGCAGGCGGUUUCUUAAGUCUGAUGUGAAAGCCCACGGCUCAACCGUGGAGGGUCAUUGGAAACUGGGGAACUUGAGUGCAGAAGAGGAAAGUGGAAUUCCAAGUGUAGCGGUGAAAUGCGUAGAGAUUUGGAGGAACACCAGUGGCGAAGGCGACUUUCUGGUCUGUAACUGACGCUGAGGCGCGAAAGCGUGGGGAGCAAACAGG
rnacentral:rRNA from 1 species